GUUGGGUAGGGGAGCGUUCUGUAAGCCGUUGAAGGUGGCCUGUGAGGGUUGCUGGAGGUAUCAGAAGUGCGAAUGCUGACAUAAGUAACGAUAAAGCGGGUGAAAAGCCCGCUCGCCGGAAGACCAAGGGUUCCUGUCCAACGUUAAUCGGGGCAGGGUGAGUCGACCCCUAAGGCGAGGCCGAAAGGCGUAGUCGAUGGGAAACGGGUUAAUAUUCCCGUACUUGGUGUUACUGCGAAGGGGGGACGGAGAAGGCUAUGUUGGCCGGGCGACGGUUGUCCCGGUUUAAGCGUGUAGGUGUGUGUUCCAGGUAAAUCCGGUUCACUUUAACACUGAGGCGUGACGACGAGGCACUACGGUGCUGAAGCAACAAAUGCCCUGCUUCCAGGAAAAGCCUCUAAGCCUCAGGUAACAUCAAAUCGUACCCCAAACCGACACAGGUGGUCAGGUAGAGAAUACCAAGGCGCUUGAGAGAACUCGGGUGAAGGAACUAGGCAAAAUGGUGCCGUAACUUCGGGAGAAGGCACGCUGAUAUGUAGGUGAAGUGAUUUACUCAUGGAGCUGAAAUCAGUCGAAGAUACCAGCUGGCUGCAACUGUUUAUUAAAAACACAGCACUGUGCAAACACGAAAGUGGACGUAUACGGUGUGACGCCUGCCCGGUGCCGGAAGGUUAAUUGAUGGGGUCAGCGCAAGCGAAGCUCCUGAUCGAAGCCCCGGUAAACGGCGGCCGUAACUAUAACGGUCCUAAGGUAGCGAAAUUCCUUGUCGGGUAAGUUCCGACCUGCACGAAUGGCGUAAUGAUGGCCAGGCUGUCUCCACCCGGGACUCAGUGAAAUUGAACUCGCUGUGAAGAUGCAGUGUACCCGCGGCAAGACGGAAAGACCCCGUGAACCUUUACUAUAGCUUGACACUGAACACUGGUCCUUGAUGUGCAGGAUAGGUGGGAGGCUUUGAAGUGUGGACGCCAGUCUGCAUGGAGCCAUCCUUGAAAUACCACCCUUUAAUGGCUGGUGUUCUAACGUGGGCCCGUGAACCGGGUUGCGGACAGUGUCUGGUGGGUAGUUUGACUGGGGCGGUCUCCUCCUAAAGAGUAACGGAGGAGCACGAAGGUUGGCUAAUCCUGGUCGGACAUCAGGAGGUUAGUGCAAUGGCAUAAGCCAGCUUGACUGCGAGCGUGACGGCGCGAGCAGGUGCGAAAGCAGGUCAUAGUGAUCCGGUGGUUCUGAAUGGAAGGGCCAUCGCUCAACGGAUAAAAGGUACUCCGGGGAUAACAGGCUGAUACCGCCCAAGAGUUCAUAUCGACGGCGGUGUUUGGCACCUCGAUGUCGGCUCAUCACAUCCUGGGGCUGAAGUAGGUCCCAAGGGUAUGGCUGUUCGCCAUUUAAAGUGGUACGCGAGCUGGGUUUAGAACGUCGUGAGACAGUUCGGUCCCUAUCUGCCGUGGGCGCUGGAAGAUUGAGGGGGGCUGCUCCUAGUACGAGAGGACCGGAGUGGACGCAUCACUGGUGUUCGGGUUGUCAUGCCAAUGGCACUGCCCGGUAGCUACAUGCGGAAGAGAUAAGUGCUGAAAGCAUCUAAGCACGAAACUUGCCCCGAGAUGAAUCUUCCCUGAGCCUUUAAGGCUCCUGAAGGAACGUUGA
rnacentral:rRNA from 1 species